rnacentral:tRNA from 1 species
GCGGAUUUCCAACGUUUCUGAGCACCAGUCUACCCUCCGACCUCUGCCUUCCAAGCAGAUGGUGCGGGUUCGAUUCCCGUCAUCCGCU